GGCCGAGAAAGGUAUGAGUUGAAUGUUGGGCUCGCCUCUGCUUUUAUAUCCCUCGUCCACUCUCUAUCUCUCUUGAACAAACGAUGUGGGACUAACUAGUAUUGUUCAACACCAGCUUGCUUGAUACAAACAUAUGCACGUGGAAAUUUAAGGUUCCAAAGUGAAAGUGAAAACUGCGUGCUGGAGUCUGAGGGACUUUUUGAAAUCCUGAUACUAUAGAGAAUCGUGGUCAAAUGCAAUGGAUGCGAGGUCAGUUACAGUUGUAGAGGUAUUGAAAACUCUGAUGUCUCAGUCUAGAUGGUAGUCGC